CGGAGGAUCCAAGCGUUAUCCGGAAUCAUUGGGUUUAAAGGGUCCGUAGGCGGGUUUAUAAGUCAGUGGUGAAAGCCCAUCGCUCAACGAUGGAACGGCCAUUGAUACUGUAGGAUCUUGAAUUAUUAGGAAGUAACUAGAAUAUGUAGUGUAGCGGUGAAAUGCUUAGAGAUUACAUGGAAUACCAAUUGCGAAGGCAGGUUACUACUAAUGGAUUGACGCUGAUGGACGAAAGCGUGGGUAGCGAACAGGAUUAGAUACCCUGAUAGUCCACGCCGUAAACGAUGGAUACUAGCUGUUCGGAGCAAUCUGAGUGGCUAAGCGAAAGUGAUAAGUAUCCCACCUGGGGAGUACGUUCGCAAGAAUG
rnacentral:rRNA from 1 species